UACGUAGGGUGCAAGCGUUAUCCGGAAUUAUUGGGGCGUAAAAGAGCUCGUAGGCGGUCUGUCGCGUCUGCUGUGAAAACUGGGGGGCUCAACCCCCCAGCCUGCAGUGGGUACGGGCAGACUAGAGUGCGGUAGGGGAGAUUGGAACUCCUGGUGUAGCGGUGGAAUGCGCAGAUAUCAGGAGGAACACCAACGGCGAAGGCAGCUCGCUGGGGACGGUACUGACGCUGAGACGCGAAAGCGUGGGGAGCGAACAGG
rnacentral:rRNA from 1 species